UACAGAGGAUGCAAGCGUUAUCCGGAAUGAUUGGGCGUAAAGCGUCUGUAGGUGGCUUUUUAAGUCCGCCGUCAAAUCCCAGGGCUCAACUCUGGACAGGCGGUGGAAACUACCAAGCUGGAGUACGGUAGGGGCAGAGGGAAUUUCCGGUGGAGCGGUGAAAUGCGCAGAUAUCAGGAGGAACACCGGUGGCGAAGGCGGAUCUCUGGGCCAUUACUGACGCUGAGGAGCGAAAGCGUGGGGAGCAAACAGG
rnacentral:rRNA from 1 species